ACGCUCGCUAUGGCAGCACAUAUACUAAAAUUGGAACGAUAUGGAGAAGAAUAGCAUGGCUCCUGCACAAGGAUGACACGCAAAUUCGUGAAGCGGUCCAUAUUAAA
rnacentral:snRNA from 10 species